rnacentral:lncRNA from 1 species
GUGCUUGGUUCAAAUGGCCUACCCUCAAACUAUGUUCAACUGAUUUGAGGAAGCAAAUUUCGAACAAAAAGAGGAGAAAGAAAGAUUCAGCUACUGGUCUCUUUGUUUUCCCAGUCCAGUCUAGAGUUACUGGUGCCAAGUACUCAUACCAGUGGAUGGCACUGGCUCAGCAGAAUAAUUGGCAUGUUUUGCUUGAUGCUGGCGCUCUGGGUCCCAAAGACAUGGAUUCUCUAGGAUUGUCUUUAUUCCGGCCGGACUUUAUAGUUACUUCAUUCUACAGGGUGUUUGGUUAUGACCCAACUGGAUUUGGAUGCCUUCUUAUAAAAAAAUCUGUGAUGGGAAGCCUUCAAAAUCAGUCGGGGCAUGCUGGGUCUGGUAUAGUAAAAAUUACUCCUGUUUUCCCCUUGUAUUUGAGUGACUCCGUUGAUGGUUUCCCUGGAUUAGCCGAGGAUGAUGAAGCGGGAGAGGACAGUGAAGCAAAUGACUCCGUUGAUGGUUUCCCUGGAUUGGCUGAGGAUGAUGAAGCGGGAGAGGACAGUGAAGCAAAUGCUGAAACUCGGCCAGGAUCUCAGUUGCCAGCCUUUUCUGGUGCUUACACUUCUGCUCAGGUCAGGGAUGUAUUUGAGAC